AGGACGAACGCUGGCGGCGUGCCUAACACAUGCAAGUCGAACGCGCUCCAUUCGGUAGCAAUACUGAUGAAGAGCGAGUGGCGAACGGGUGAGUAGCACGUGAGCAACCUGCCCCGAAGACCGGGACAACACCGGGAAACCGGUGCUAAUACCGGAUAUCCCUAUCGGACCGCAUGAUCUGAUAAGGAAAUGGAUUCCGCUUCGGGAGGGGCUCGCGGCCUAUCAGCUAGUUGGUGAGGUAACGGCCCACCAAGGCAUCGACGGGUAGCUGGUCUGAGAGGACGAUCAGCCACACUGGGACUGAGACACGGCCCAGACUCCUACGGGAGGCAGUAGUGGGGAAUCUUGCGCAAUGGGCGAAAGCCUGACGCAGCAACGCCGCGUGGAGGACGAAGGCUUUACUGAGUUGUAAACUCCUUUCAGCAGGGACGAUAGUGACGGUACCUGCAGAGAAGCACCGGCAACUACGUGCCAGCAGCCG
rnacentral:rRNA from 1 species